UACAGAGGUCUCAAGCGUUGUUCGGAUUCAUUGGGCGUAAAGGGUGCGUAGGCGGCGCGGUAAGUCGGGUGUGAAAUCUCGGAGCUUAACUCCGAAACUGCAUUCGAUACUGCCGUGCUUGAGGACUGGAGAGGAGACUGGAAUUUACGGUGUAGCGGUGAAAUGCGUAGAUAUCGGGGAGGAACACCUGUGGCGAAAGCGGCUCACUGGACCACAACUGACGCUGAUGCGCGAAAGCUAGGGGAGCAAACAGG
rnacentral:rRNA from 1 species